UGGCUGUCGUCAGCUCGUGUCGUGAGAUGUUGGGUUAAGUCCCGCAACGAGCGCAACCCUUAUCUUUAAUUGCCAUCAUUCAGUUGGGCACUUUAGAGAGACUGCCGGUGUUAAACCGGAGGAAGGUGGGAUGACGUCAAGUCCUCAUGGCCUUUAUGCUUAGGGCUACACACGUGCUACAAUGGGUAGUACAAAGAGAAGCCAACUCGCGAGAGUGCGCAAAUCUCAAAAAGCUAUCCUAAGUUCGGAUUGAAGUCUGACAACUCGACUUCAUGAAGCUGGAAUCGCUAGUAAUCGCGGAUCAGCAUGCCGCGGUCGAAUACGUUCCCGGGCCUU
rnacentral:rRNA from 1 species